rnacentral:rRNA from 1 species
GAUGAACGCUGGCGGCGUGCUUAACACAUGCAAGUCGAACGGAAAGGCUCCUGCUUGCCGGGGUACUCGAGUGGCGAACGGGUGAGUAACACGUGGGUGAUCUGCCCUGCACUUCGGGAUAAGCCUGGGAAACUGGGUCUAAUACCGGAGAGGACGAUGGUUUGGGUGCCAUUGUGGAAAGUUUUUUCGGUGUGGGAUGAUCUGGCGGGCUAUCAGCUUGUUGGUGGGGUAUUGGUCUACCAAGGCGGCGACGGGGAGCCGGCAUUGGAGGGGGUACGGCCACAUUGGUCCUGAGAUACGGACCAGUCGCGUACGGGAGGCAGUAGGGGAGAAUAUUGCACAAUGGCGGCAAGCGUGAUGCAGCGACGCCGCGUGGGGGAUGAUGGCCUUCGGGUUGUAAACACCUUUCUAUAUGGACGAAGCGCAAGUGACGGUACCUGGAGAAGAAGCACCGGCUAACUACGUG